AAACUGAAGAGUUUGAUCAUGGCUCAGAUUGAACGCUGGCGGCAGGCUUAACACAUGCAAGUCGAGCGGUAACAGGGGGAGCUUGCUCCCCGCUGACGAGCGGCGGACGGGUGAGUAAUGCAUAGGAAACUGCCCAGUAGUGGGGGAUAGCCCGGGGAAACCCGGAUUAAUACCGCAUACGCCCUUCGGGGGAAAGCAGGGGAUCUUCGGACCUUGCGCUAUUGGAUGUGCCUAUGUCGGAUUAGCUAGUUGGUGGGGUAAAGGCUCACCAAGGCGACGAUCCGUAGCUGGUCUGAGAGGAUGAUCAGCCACAUCGGGACUGAGACACGGCCCGAACUCCUACGGGAGGCAGCAGUGGGGAAUAUUGGACAAUGGGCGCAAGCCUGAUCCAGCCAUGCCGCGUGUGUGAAGAAGGCCCUCGGGUUGUAAAGCACUUUCAGCGAGGAAGAACGCCUAGCGGUUAAUACCCGCUAGGAAAGACAUCACUCGCAGAAGAAGCACCGGCUAAUUUCGUGCCAGCAGCCGCGGUAAUACGAAAGGUGCGAGCGUUAAUCGGAAUU
rnacentral:rRNA from 1 species